rnacentral:rRNA from 1 species
UACGUAGGGAGCAAGCGUUGUCCGGAAUCAUUGGGCGUAAAGCGCGCGUAGGUGGCCCCCUAAGUCCGCUGUGAAAGUCAAAGGCUCAACCUUUGAAAGCCGGUGGAUACUGUGGGACUAGAGUACGGAAGAGGCGAGUGGAAUUCCUGGUGUAGCGGUGGAAUGCGCAGAUAUCAGGAGGAACACCAAUAGCGAAGGCAGCUCGCUGGGACGUUACUGACACUGAGGCGCGAAAGCGUGGGGAGCGAACAGG